CCAAAGUGUUUGAGAAAGUGAACACAAGUAGGACAUUUCUGAUACGACUAGACUUUUUCUCAUAAAACUGCAACUUGUGACUGAUUUGAUGUUUUUCAGAUGUGCUGAAAGACAUUUAAAGCACAGCCAAAAUUAUUAAUCAGUUUCAUGGUUUCACUGUGGCCUGUAAUCUAAACUGGGAGCAUCAGGUUGCAUCUUUCUACCUAUUGGCAUGUGUGAUACUUUAUCUCUAGACUGUUCAUGAAUCAUUCAGUAUGGCAGGGAAAGAGCUUCCUUUAUGCCUUUGAGCUGCCUCUGAGCCCUGGGCAGCAAACUAACAUGAUGGGCUCGUUCUGGGUAUGCCUCUGCUGGCCUACCCUACUUUGCUGGUUCUUUGCCCCAAGACUGAGCGCUGCUGUUGGAUCAAACAUAACACUAAGACUUCCUGAGAGAUCUUCCUGCAAACCAGGUUUUUACUGCCCAGAGGGAGGUAGGGGUCCAGUUCCAUGUCCUAGAGGAACAUUUGGACCAAGUUUUUGGGCCCAGUCUGUAAAUGACUGCAUCAGCUGCCCACCACAUCACUAUGGACCUAGAGAAGGCUUGAGCAAUUGCCUGCCCUGUGGGCCCUGGUCACAGCAGCCUCUGCUUGGACAGGACAGCUGUACAUGUCUGCGAGAGGGUCAAGUCUUCCAGGCCAGUGAUGGACAGUGUCCAUGUACUUUGGGAUACACACAGAAAGGAGAAGCCUGUGUGUUGAAGGUCUAUGAGAUCUGCAAGGAUGGAAGAGCACGAAACCAGCAUGGAGAAUGUCUGGACCACAAGCAAUGGAAGCAGCAUUGCUCCCAGCAGGUGUGUCUAUCUCCUGAGCUGUAUGAGGGCUAUGAUGGUUCCCUGGGCCUGUGUGCUUGCAGAGGGCUGUCCAGGCCUGAGCCAGACAGGGUUGAGUGUGUUGGCUGGUGCCGGAGCAACCUGAGUCCAAUUCUGCAGCUGGUUUGCACUGGAAGCCUUUACCUGCUCUACACUGAGUCUAAUCAACAGGUGAGCAUGUCUAGAAGCAUGCUGGAGACCGUCCUCAAACACUGGGACUCCCGUGGGAGCUUAGAAUGCAAUGUGCAGCUCAACUUCUCCAGGCCUGUGUACACAGUUAAAACAGAGGAGGCGGGCUUCUUUGGUCUGCUUAAUGCCGUCCCUGUGGAGGUCAGGAGGUUGAUUCUGGCCCACAGCCAGCAAACUAACAACUACUUUGAGCCCCUAGACAAAGACAGAGGAAACAUCAAAGACAAAGAGGAAGACUGGGACUCUCAUUGGUCCGGUAUAUCAUCAGCGUUUGGUACAUCCGACAUGAGGCCUAGAGGAGUCUUGAACCCAACAGCAUGUCUACAUCCGGGAGACAUUCUUCUUUUUACAGUGACCCAACAGCACUAUCCUCAGUAUGAUGUAGACAGCUUGUAUAACACUAAUGAUGCAUUUGACUGGGGACCCUUCAGAUUACUGGCACAGGACCAAGAACUGGCACGAUCUACCCACUCCCUUUUUUCCAUAAGUCUCCAUGAGCCUGGGGUGUACGCCUUCAAACUCAGCAGCCACAAUUAUAGGCACAUGUAUGUGAGGGUAGUGCCUGCAGGUGGAGAGUGCUAUGACACUGGACCCUUCUUCCCUUCUGACCCACAUCAUUUGACUCGCAUGGGCAUCGCACAGAGACGCCACCUGCUGCUCCGCCCCAACUGGCUGAUGAUCGGUGGGCUUUUAGUAGGAGCUGUGGUAAUCCUGUGCUUGUGUGUCAUUAUAUUGAUCUUGUUCAGGAAUUACGGCUGGCCUGAGAAACUGCCAGCUCAGGUCAGGUACCGUGAUCUGCAGCUAAGGUACAACAUGGACGACUAUUCAUCAAAGGGCUCCAGGGUGGUGGCUGUGAAAAAAACACAUCGAAACCUGCAGGUGGGGUUGACUGAGGAUUCAGUGCAGAGAGCAGUGGCUCUGGUGUCAAAUGAAUUCUGGGACUAUGAAGAGCAAGUGGAUCUCGAAGCAUUCAGCUCCAGCACCUUCUAUGACAUCCUACUCAAGCACAGCGUGUCUGUCACAAUACGUCUCGGGCAGCUCAGAGGAGAGGUGAAGCAUCUCUAUCAGGGGGUGCUGGGGAAGUUGAGAGAGCUCCACCCUGGCUGGAGGAUGUUUGGAGGGAAAACCGAAGGUCUGGAGAGGCAGGUGGAGCAGGAGAUGGUGCGACGAAGAGCACUGGGCAAUCAGCUGACACAGCUGCUGGACAGCCAGCUGCAGAUCCUGCGGGUGGAGAUGAGAGCACAGCAGGCCAUGCAGAAGACCUUCAGAGCACGACUGAGAGAGAGCGCGAGGCUUCUGAGACUGCUGGCUGAGGGUCAGACCUCGCUCUGGGAUAAACACAUCAAGCAACAUGUUCUGGAGCGGGUAGCUGUGCUGGCUGAUGAGAUGACUGAGAAGGUAUCAGUGGAGAGCCAGAGGCUGGGGGCCUGGGUUGUGCUUAAAGAGGGCACUGGAGCACAGCUAUUAUGCCCUGCUACUGGAUCAGUCCUCAGUAGGGAAGACAUCAUCGCUCCUGAUGGAUCUCUUAGAGCUUGUGAUGCCGUUCAUGUAAACCCCCUCACAGGCCUCAUUCAGCCCAACUCUAACGCCCAUAUGUUACUGGCCAGUGGACACAGCAUGCCAGUUCCCCCGGACUUCUUCCUACACUCCCAGACUGGCAAACUACUGCCUAUGGCUGGAAACGUGGGCUUUGAUCCUGUUUCCUCCACCCUUGUCUUUACAGCCGAUGCUUGUGUGGGGGAGGUGGGAAAAUGGGAACUACCCCUGCUGCCUUUCAUUCCGUACCCUCCGUCCCGCCACGCCGAACUUCAUGCUGCUUCCAAACUACGGGGGCUUCGUUCAGGCCAAAGGCUGAUGCUUGGAGGACCCAUGUGUGACUGUGACACUGGUGUUUUGGUGCCUAUUCAGGCAGUCACCAUCCAUCCACAAACAGGAUUGGUUUAUCCUUUGGGAGGCGUGCACACGUGUCCCAUCUCACGCCUGUGGCAGCCUAUUCAAAUAGGCUCUCCCAUGCUGGACCCACGUACAGGUGACCUAGUGCUCAUCACGGGCAUCACUCUUGAUCCCCAUACAGGGGCUGUACUUCCAGUUGGGGGGCUUCUCCUAGGCGAGUCCUUCAUCGAGCCCUUGAGCGGACGGAUGGUGCGGGUUGGUGGAGGCAGCGUGCGAGGAGGAAAGGUGGUGCCUCAUGCUGGGGGUUUCCAGGCUCUGCUGGACAGCCAGGCUCUGGGCGCUUGCUUGCGAAUGGCAGAGCUCCUGCAAGGAUUCAGUGAGGAGUGGAGCUCAGCAGCUGCAGAUCCACAAGGUGACCUGGACAGACUCUCGGCAGCAACAUCUGAGCUGGAGCAGGCCUGGAAAAGCAGCCAACACUGUAUGUUGCAGCUGCUGAGUCGCCUGGAAGCCGUACAGGGACAGGCCAGGGGUGUGGUGGAGAAUGGCGGUAGUGUGGGGGAAAUUAAGCUUCCUGGCAUUGAGCUCUCCUUGCCAGCUCUCCCCGGGUUGGAGUAUCCUGACCCUGGAGGCUCGGGUCUGCAUGUCCCAGUUCUGGGAGCUCAGUUGGACUGGAUGUCAGGAUCUAUGGUGCCCCUGGCAGGAACCAUGGAGGAUGCAGAUGGUAAAGGGCUAGUUCCCAUACAUUUUGGAGCGCAGACAGUGGACCCAGUGACAGGGGUGCUGGCUCCGGUUGUGGGGGCCAGUCUGGAUGUUUGGAAACGGACUGUGGUUCCUGUAACUGUGUCCCAGAUUCUGACGUUAGGAGAAAACCCAGACAGUGUCACGGUGGAAGCCCUCCAGAAAGAGAGCAGUGUACAGGGCAAUUACUGGCGUGAGCAGACACUGAAGGAAGAGGAGAUGGUGGGAGAUUUUGACAGAGCCAUUAAACACUAUCUGUCCACAUCCAUACACGAGUCUGACUGUAUAGACUGGAUGGACACAGACAGGCACCUCAGGGAGACCGCCGCUGAGAUUCAGGAAAGUGCUCAGUGUGAGGCCCAGAGAAAAGCUCUCCAGAACUCAGAGUUAUCGCUGCUCCUACAAGCCCAUGUGUUACACACCUUCACAGGAGCAGCCGGUCUUCGGUGUCACAUAAUCCUUCAGAAAUCAUUCUUAUAUGCUGGUUUGGUGCUCAAGAAAUAUUUGGAGAUGAAGAGGAGUGGGAGCAGCAGUGUUACUGGCACACUGAGCUUAAGGCCGUGCUGAACCGAGUGAGUGUGUCCAUGGAGAGACUGCAGAGGGACCGGGAUCAGCUGUCGGCACAGGAAACGCAGCAUCUGGAUGGAAAACUGAGGGAGCAGGAUCUGUGGGAGCAUUUAAUGCAGAGACAAGCAGAGCUGGAUGCUGCACUUUCAACUCUUCACUGUGCUCGUCAGGUCUGCCAGCUGCGUGCUGACAUUGCACAGUCUUUGGUUUGUGGCACAUUCUGGUAUAAGGAUUUUGGCAUGCUGCAGCCUAAGGGUGUGAGGAACCCUCUGAAAGUAAUAGCCAUGACUCAGCAGAAAAUCCUUCCUCGGCUUGAACGACUUAUUCAGCUGCUGGAGGAAACCAAAGCACUUGGCCAGUCGACCAGCACACAGCGGCAGCAGAGCUCUGGAAAGCAGGCGUUCGACCGAGACAGCGCUUCCAGAGCGUGGACCGAAUCUGUGUCUGUUGUGAAAGGUGUCUCAACUCAGUCCUUUAAAGAUCAAAUGAAGGCUCCGUCUGUGAGUGAACAGAAUGCCACGGUGCCCUCUCUUCCUCUGUCAAACCCAUCUUACACUCAGAAAAGCCAGGAAAAAACACAGCUGAACCACAGCCAGGAUGUCCAAUUUCUCCAGGAACCUGGUCUGUCCGCACACAUCAGUAUCCCACAGCUAGCAGAGGAAGACUGGUCCAGACUAGUAGCACUAUCUCCUCUAUUCCAGCUGAUGAAGGAAGUGGAGCAACAGCUCAGGGAUAGUGCCAGAGAUAGAGGCCUUCUCAAGAUCCAGCCUUCAGGUGCAGGCCAGUCAUUCAUGGAUUUCAUGGAUGCCCAGUGGGAGUGUGAGGGAGAGCUGAUUCAAGUGAGCUCUGAAACCCUCAACCCACGACAGCUUCUGCUCUACCAGCAUGGACAGUUUCUCCUCCAGCACCUUCACUUACAUAAAAUGAUACCAGCAGUAACCCUUCAACUGGCUUCUACUCUUCCUUUCAACGACUACCAUAACAAUGCUUUCCGCAACUCUUUCUAUUAUCAGGAGGGACAGAAGACUCUGUUUGUUCGCAGUCAGAGAUUGCAAUCGGUGGGUGGCCUCUCUCUGCUGCUAAUGCACUGUGCUGCACACAUUUCCAUCGGCCAGAUGAGGACUGACACCAUUCCUGCCUUUCAAAGAGCCUUCUUCAAGGUUUUACAGGUGGGCUUAAGUGAGCUGUUCCAUGCCAGGCUGGGACAAACUGAUAGUCCAGAUGAUGAGAGGACGAAAGAUUUGGCGUCUGACGCAGCUCUCAAUGGUCUUCUGCUGGAAAGAGUCCAGAAGCCAAGUCCUGGGAUUUUUUCAGAGCAUGAGGUUUUGGGACGUCUGCGCAAAUACAGAGAGGCUUCAGUGUUCCGCCAGGUCGAGAGUCUCCUAAAAGAGUCUCCAAAGAGCCUGGAGAUCAACCACCUCAACACUGACCCGUCACUCAACGACGACCCAGAAAGCCAAGCCGCUGCUCCUCCAUGAACUGACAUUUUAACUUUGAACAGUGCUGCCUCUCUGACAGUGAUGAAUCCAGCUUUCAAAGGCAUGUUAUGUGCUGUGAGGCAGCUGAUGGCCUUAUGGUCUUGGACGGUAGAGCAUCUAUUUUUGCUUCUGGUGGUGACCCAGCACAGCUACUUUCUUGUACAGAAGUUGAAAAAAUGGCACUAAGAAAAAAACAUUAAAAUGGGCAAUAUUUCCAUGCACUGCAUAGGCUCAGCAAACAAACCUCUGUUGAAUCCAGUUUUAAUGUAGUUUUCGAAAAUAAAGGCAUGUUACAGAAUUUGACCGUUUGAUUGGACGGGUGCAGUUUCUUAAGAAAAGAAACUAAACAAUACAGGGGGUAGUGAAAAUAUAAUGAAUGAAAUGAAUAUAAUUGAAUGAAAAUAUAAUCUUGAAAUUUUAAUAAAUAAAUUUAGACAAUGUACAAAUACGGUGUCAUACAAAAUGAAAAGUCACAUAAAAUGAACAGUAGAAAUAAAGAGAAUUAAAAAUGAACAGAAUUAACUAAAUUAAAUUGAUCAAUUAACUUAUUGAAUAUAAAUGUAUGAUUAUAAAUUUGCUCAAAUAGUAAAAUAAAAAAAUCCAAUAUAGUGUUUCCACACCUUUCCAAAAGAAGAGAGAAAGAUGUCAAAUUGACUGUAUUUACUGUAUCUUUACAUUUUUUAAACAUGAGCAUAUAUACA
ensembl:lncRNA